rnacentral:rRNA from 1 species
UACGUAGGGUGCGAGCGUUAAUCGGAACUACUGGGCGUAAAGCGUGCGCAGGCGGUUUUGUAAGCCAGGUGUGAAAUCCCCGGGCUCAACCUGGGAAUGGCAUUUGGGACUGCAAGGCUGGAGUGCGGCAGAGGAGACUGGAAUUCCUGGUGUAGCAGUGAAAUGCGUAGAUAUCAGGAGGAAUACCGAUGGCGAAGGCAGGUCUCUGGGCUGACACUGACGCUCAUGCACGAAAGCGUGGGGAGCAAACAGG